rnacentral:rRNA from 1 species
CACGCCGCGUCAGAGAUCAAGGUUUUCGGAUCGCAAAGCUCUGUUGUCAGGGAAGAACAAGUACCGUUCGAACAGGGCGGUACCUCGACGGUACCCAACCAGAAAGCCACGGCUCACUACGUGCCAGCAGCCGCGGUCAUACGUACGUGGCAAGCGUUGUCCGGAAUUAUUGGGCGAAAAGGGCUCGCAGGCGGUUUCUCAAGUCAGAUGUCAAAGCCCCCGGCUCAACCGGGGAGGGUCAUUGGAAACUGGGGAACUUCAGUGCAGAAGAGGAGAGUGGAAUUCCACGUGUCGCGGAGAAAUGCGUACAGAUGUGGAGGAACACCAGUGGCGAAGGCGACUCUCUGGUCAGAAACAGACGCAGAGGAGCGAAAGCGUGGGGAGCGAACAGGAUCAGAUACCCUGGUCGUCCACGCCGUAAACGAUCAGUGCUCAGUGCAAGGGGGUUUCCGCCCCUCAGUGCUGCAGCAAACGCACAAAGCACUCCG